rnacentral:lncRNA from 1 species
CUAAAGUAGUAUUCAUCUGAUUUCCAGCUUUAUGUUGCUGAAUGUUUACCAUUAAAAGAACCUACUACUUUUCCUGAAGCACUUCAAAUAAAAUGUUGGAAACAAGCAAUGGAGGAUGAAAUAACAACACUCAAGAGAAACAACACCUGAACCUUUGUUCUAUAUGCUCCAACUAUGAAUAUUGUUGGGAAAAAAAAUGGGCUUUUUGAGUAAAGAACAAUGUUGAUGGAAGUUUUAGAGAUGUAAAG